rnacentral:rRNA from 1 species
AGCAGCCGCGGUAAUUCCAGCUCCAAUAGCGUAUAUUAAAGUUGUUGCAGUUAAAAAGCUCGUAGUUGAAUUUCGGGGUCAGUAGGUUGGUCGUGCCACCGGUACGUACUGGUCUCACUGAUUCCUCCUUCCUGAUGAGCUGUAAUGCCAUUAAUUUGGUGUUGCAGGGAAUCUGGACUGUUACUUUGAAAAAUUAGAGUGUUUAAAGCAGGCUAACGCUUGAAUACAUUAGCAUGGAAUAAUGAAAUAGGACGUUCGAUCCUAUUUUGUUGGUUUCUAGGAUUGACGUAAUGAUUAAUAGGGAUAGUUGGGGGCAUUAGUAUUCAAUUGUCAGAGGUGAAAUUCUUGGAUUUAUUGAAGCUAACUACUGCGAAAGCAUUUGCCAAGGAUG